GAGUUUACGCUCUAUAACCCUUUGUGAACAUACCUAUAACUGUUGCUUCGGCGGGUAGGGUCUCCGCGACCCUCCCGGCCUCCCGCCUCCGGGCGGGUCGGCGCCCGCCGGAGGAUAACCAAACUCUGAUUUAACGACGUUUCUUCUGAGUGGUACAAGCAAAUAAUCAAAACUUUUAACAACGGAUCUCUUGGUUCUGGCAUCGAUGAAGAACGCAGCGAAAUGCGAUAAGUAAUGUGAAUUGCAGAAUUCAGUGAAUCAUCGAAUCUUUGAACGCACAUUGCGCCCGCCAGCAUUCUGGCGGGCAUGCCUGUUCGAGCGUCAUUUCAACCCUCAAGCUCUGCUUGGUGUUGGGGCCCUACAGCUGAUGUAGGCCCUCAAAGGUAGUGGCGGACCCUCCCGGAGCCUCCUUUGCGUAGUAACUUUACGUCUCGCACUGGGAUCCGGAGGGACUCUUGCCGUAAAACCCCCCAAUUUUCCAAAGGUUGACCUCGGAUCAGGUAGGAAUACCCGCUGAACUUAAGCAUAUCAAUAAGCGGAGGAAAAGAAACCAACAGGGAUUGCCUCAGUAACGGCGAGUGAAGCGGCAACAGCUCAAAUUUGAAAUCUGGCCCUAGGCCCGAGUUGUAAUUUGCAGAGGAUGCUUUUGGUGCGGUGCCUUCCAAGUUCCCUAGAACGGGACGCCAGAGAGGGUGAGAGCCCCGUACAGUUGGACACCAAGCCUUUGUAAAGCUCCUUCGACGAGUCGAGUAGUUUGGGAAUGCUGCUCAAAAUGGGAGGUAUAUUUCUUCUAAAGCUAAAUACCGGCCAGAGACCGAUAGCGCACAAGUAGAGUGAUCGAAAGAUGAAAAGCACUUUGAAAAGAGGGUUAAACAGCACGUGAAAUUGUUAAAAGGGAAGCGCUUGUGACCAGACUUGCGUCCGGUGAAUCACCCAGCUCUCGCGGCUGGGGCACUUCGCCGGCUCAGGCCAGCAUCAGCUCGCUGUCGGGGACAAAAGCUUCAGGAACGUAGCUCUCUUCGGGGAGUGUUAUAGCCUGUUGCACAAUACCCUUCGGCGGGCUGAGGUACGC
rnacentral:rRNA from 1 species